rnacentral:lncRNA from 1 species
CUUUUUUUUUUUUUUUUUUUUUUUUUGCAAAGAAAAGUUGGCUAUCCUUAUGUAAAUGCUGCCACUUCCCUGGGCAAACAUACUUGCCCCCUUACCACAAUCUUAAUAACCCCUUAGCUGGAAUCUGCAAACAGCCUGCACUGCAGAUAAAAAACCUUUCGCAAAAAAAUAAUAAUUACACACACACACACACACAAAAACCUUUGGUGUUCUGGGGGCUCUGGCCCUUCCUCACCCACCCCAAUCCUGUGAUGAAAGUAAAUGAGUCAAAAAUAUAGAUUCUACUACUUGCAUUAGCCCUGUCUUAGGCAAGCCACUUAAUUCCUCUUUAUCUUACCCUUCUCAGCAACCAAGGAGGAUAAAAUAAUUCUACACUCAACUUACAAAAUUGAUGUUUGGAUGGAAUUAAUUAAUUGAUGAUAGAGGUUCAGAAAGUCAAAGGAGCACUUACAGGUGCAACUUGUUUUUAUUAAACAGACGUUUUUAAAUAAUGUAAGUACACUCAAGUAAAUGUUAAUAAUAUUAAGACCUGACAUUUAUUGAAUAUUACAUAUGUCAGGCCCUGUAUAAGUGGCUUACAUGCACUCUCUCAUCGAAUCUACAGAAACACUCAACGAGAUAAGUGCUACUAUUUUUUUUUUUUUUUGGUCUUUUUGCCAUUUUUUGGGCCGCUCUCACUGCAUAUGGAGGUUCCCAGGCUAGGGGUCGAAUUGGAGCCAUAGCCACCAGCCUACGCCAGAGCCACAGCAAUGCGGGAUCCAAGCCGCAUCUGCAACCUACACCACAGCUCACAGCAACGCCGGAUCCUCAACCCACUGAUGAGAUUGAUUAGCGUGCUCCUUGGAGUUUGGAUAAAUACCGAUUGAUAAUUUAAACUGUAUGAAAUUGGCUCUGGAAUCUAUGCUAUACCAAGUCUUUGCAUAUUUAUUCCAUUUUUUAAGAUUCAUAAUCAUUGAUAUGAGGCUAACAGAACCACAAUGCCAACUCUAAGUCGUGUAUCUACAAAAUAUGUUUCCCGUUAACGAUCGACAAUCAGAAAAGAUAUCAAUGUUUAGAAAAGAUUAAAAUAUUUUUUCAUUGAGUUCUCUUUCUCUUUCUCUCCUUUUUCUGUAAGAAGAGUAAUUUGAAAAGGCUACAGUUGGGGGGAAAGCAAUGAAGAACAAAUUGCUGUACAUGAAGUUUCGUUUUUGAAUAGCUGGGGAGAUUAAUUCACUUGCCUGCAACUGGUUCAUUACUACCCCCAGCUACCCAAAAAUGAAAUAUCACGUAUGGUACCGUCUUUGCCCCAUAGGUCAUAAUACUAUAGUGAUCACAGCAGGGCUGGGCUCAAUUAUGGAAAAUGAGACCCCAGCCAAUGCUCUCAAACACCCCCUGCCUGCCAAGGAGCUACCCAGGUGCUGUAAUUGUGUUUACCUAUUACCAUGCCUUUAUUUCAUUACUUUGGACUUGCGGGAUGCUAUAAAAGGAGAAAGAAUUUUGGAAGGUUCUAGAAACUCUUUGCUGUGUUUCGAGAGACUUUCCUCCUGUAUUCUUAAAGCAAAUCAUUUAUACCUGCCUUCACCUAAAUUUUAUGGCAUAUUCUCAGAGCCCUCACCAAUGGAAGAGGCAGAGAAAGCAAACAUGGAAAUUAAUAGCCUUCUACCUGAAACUGGAGGCACUGUCCUUCCAAGUAUCACAAGCUUUCACUGCUUCAUCUGUCUUAGGAUGGGCAAAGAAUAAACCUGGGUGUCAGAGAUCUUUGCCUUAGUCGUUUUGUUCCAUCUGGUUUCUCAGCAACUUCUUUUUGGGACACUGUGGUCAUCCUACCUCCAGCUUAUCACUUAUAAUCAUAACUGUUAUCACUGACUGAAUACUUAAUGUCUGCCAAGCAUUGGCAUUAUCUCAUUUAACGUCCAUAUCAAACAUUUGUUCUCUGAAUUCAUAUAUACAUACCUACCAACCAUAUGUGGUACUAUUAAAAACUCCAUUAUAAAGAUGAGGAUACUAAAACCAGAAUGAUUUGAAGAAUCUCCCAAGAUCACUGUUACUAUGUAGGAGAGCCAGGCUUUCUGGCUCCUGAGAAUGUAUACUGCCAUACUAGGUGUUUGUUUUAAAAUUUUUGUUUUACUUUUAAGUUUUUGUGAAAGUGCCGAAUUCCAACCACUAGACCACCAGGGGCGCUCCCCUAAAAUCUUUGCUUUAAAAUGAGAACAAAGGCUCGGAGAAGUUGGAACACUUGCCCAGAGUCCCACACACAGUGACUUUAACAGUGUUAAAGAUGGAAUUCAAGUCCAAGUAUGCCUGACUCCAAUCCAGAGCAUCUAACCCAACAAGCAUAUACACAGUUCAUGCCCAUAGUAUAGUCCUCUCAUUUCCCAGAUAUAUGAGCAAUUAUCCAUUUGAAUUGGUCUGCUUAGAUAUCCAUCUCCGCUGAGGGCUACACUUAUAUCUGUAUCUCCAGCAACUUGCACGAAAUAGGUGCAUCGCUCUUAGUAGUUGCUGAAUAAACAUUUAUGAAACUGACAUAAUCAAGGCCUUUCAUGCCCCCCCCCUUUGUUACAGGCAGAGUUACUUGCUCCCUCUACACAUACAUGGUCUUCUCACAGGCUCACCUCCAUUGCUUGGUGAUAGCAUAUUCUACAGGACCCUAAAAUUAUCUGUCAGUAUAGUGUAGUCUCACCCACUAGAUGAGGACCUCCUCUAGGGCAGGCAAAGCACCUCAUGCAUCUUAAUAUCCUUACAGACUAGCACUGAGCCUGCAUUUAUAGGGAACACUGCAAGCUGUUUCCUCACUCUCCUUCCUCUUCUUCCAGGAAACACAACUCUUUAUUUCCCAGCCUCACCUGUAAUUAGGUACAGCCAUCUGACCCAGUUGUAGCCAGUGGGAUGUGAGCAGAAGACAAAGAUGCUAUUUACAGACAAGGUUUUAAAGACAUGGAUUGUGUCCCCAUCUUUAGUCUCUUCUCCAUUCUACCAAGAGAUGUAGAUAAGAACCACACUCUAGAGGAGAGUGAAGCCACACAACGGAGGAAGAAGUUUGGGUCCCCGAAUUACUCCAUGGAAGAGCGCUGCUUAUUGACAAGGAACACUUUAGUCUAUUACAGAGUGAGAAAUAAAUUUAGAUUCUGUUUGAGUCAUUAUAUAUUUGGGGUGUUGUAAUAGCUAGCAUUAUCCCAACUAAUACGGAAUUUUAUCAGUGAUAAACGAGUAAUACUAGUUCUCAACAUCAACUAUUGCCUUCAGUUUAUAGAGAAGGUUGUCCUAUUUGUUUUAAGAGUAAAAUCUAUAGCUUUUCCUACUCAGUUACUUUAUGACAACAUCAUCAUCAAAUCAGGGUCUAUUGGUACCUAAACUAUUAGGUCCAUUCUUGACUAAAGCACAGCAGGAAUCAACUUAAUUCUCCCUUUGGGAAAAUUAAAUUCAAACAGCUGAAUUUAAUAUGUCCAGUUGUCCUACAAUUGACUGUGAAAGAGCCUAGCCCAAUCCUGCUUCCUCCCAAAUUGUAUCAAUGCAAUAGCAAACAGCUGAUUGUUAAAUGUUUUUCAAAAAGUUUAAAAUGCCUUUCACUAUGGGGCUAAUUCUUACAUUCCUACUAUACGAACACAGAUUCAGGUCAAAGCUCAGUUGACUGACUCCUAUCCUUGGAUCCACUUUUAGGAACAUCUUGCCACAAAGGGCAAAAGUACAAAUAUUACAUCCCAAGGAAUGGUACUCUUCCCGAUGGCAUCUAAAAUUAGAACAUGUAUUUUAUACAUGAUACAGUCCAUUAAUCUUAUUUUUUUUUUGUUUUUUCCAGGGCCACACCCACAGCAUAUGGAGGUUCCCAGGCUAGGGGUCCAAUUGGAACUGUAGCCACCGGCCUACACCACAGCCACAGCAACGCUGGAUCCUUAACCCACUGAGCGAGGCCAGGAAUCAAACCCGCAACCUCAUGGUUCCUAGUCGGAUUCAUUAACCCCUGAGCCACAAUGGGAACACCAUUAAUCUUAUUUUUAAAAUAACUGCAUUUUAUGCAAAAUUAAAUGUAUAUCUACUAUUGAAUCCUUAGAUAGUAAAAAUGAGCAAAAGAAAAUUAGUCACUCAGAUCUAUAUGAGAUAUAUUCUACCAAAACAGAGUCAUUAAAUAUUCUUCUACCAUAUCACUUUUAAUGGAUGCAGAGUCAUGUCAUAUGAAUAUAUCAGUAUGUAUUGAUUGAGGGCUUCCAUGUAUUAGCCAUUAAUAAUAUGGAAACAUGGUCCAGGGCUUGGGUGAACAAAGCAGUAAACAUGGUAGUUUUGUUCUUUCAUUGAUUCAUUCAUUUAACAAUUUUCUGAGCACCCUCUCUGUGCCAGCCACUAUGCCAGGCUCUGAAGGGCCCACCGUGAAAGAGAUGAACAAAGCUCCUCCUUUUUGGGGUAGCCCUCCUGCAGAUGAGAGCCACUGGGGUGUCACAAAAUGUCACUGCCCUACUCUGCCUCCCUCAUCCCUCUUCCCACACAGCCAACAUCCCCCUGGGAGUGGAGAAAUGCUCCACAGAAAGAAGGGCUUUAUUUUCCUUCAAGGAUCAUGUAUUUAUAUUGAGCAGGUGAAGCCCAAGAAAUGGUUAAGAACAUAGGCUGCAUUAUUUAUUUACAAUGCUUCCUUCCCUCACUGCCUUUUCCUUGACUUCCCUGGCACCAAAGUAUAGGCCCAAUUCCACUUGUUCCAUCAUGAUUUGCUUUGAACAAUGAAUGUGGGUAGAAGCGACAGUCAACAGUUGCAAGCAGAGACUGGAGAGUCAAUGCAUGUUUCUCUUAUGAAUGAACAGGUGUCCUCUCUUGUGCCACUGCCUUGUACCAUUAGAAGAGUAUGCCUUCAACAGGUAGCUGUUGCUCCUCCAGCCUGGGUCCCAAAAUGAAAGGCACAUGAAGCUACCUGAACUUCACCUGUAGCUUAAGGCAGAGAUUCCCCAGGGACCCACAGACCUAUAGGGAUCUUCCCCAGAGACCCAUAGACAAGAAAUAC